UAAGAAAUAUUAUUCCAGGUAUUUUAUAUCUGGUUCUCUAAAAGAAUUAAUUGGAUGUGGAUUUAUUAGGUCAAUAAGUAGGGAUUAGCUUAUUUAUUGAUUAUAUACAUUUAUAAGGUGGGUUUGUGUAUGAAGUUGAUAGUUCUUGUUUUUAAGGAGUUAUUAUAUAACAGGGGUUUUGUAUUAUUGUUUUAGGGUUGUGCAAUUAUUAGGGGUGGAUAUUUAAUUUUUCUUUUUGUGAAAUAAUGAUUAUAUUAGUAAUAUUUUAUUUGUUUUUAGGAAGUGCAUUUAAAGGAGGUUGAUAGUGAUUGAUUUAAUUUUUAAUUAAGGUAAAUGAAUUCGGCAAGGUUAAUUUUUGACUGUUUAGCAAAAACAUUGUUUUUUGUAAGAGUAAAAAGUAAGUUCUGUCCACUGCUAUUAGGGAAAGGGCUGCAGUAUUUUGACUGUAUGAAGGUAGCAUAAUCAUUAGCCUUUUAAUUGGGGGCUGGUAUGAAGGUGAAACAGGGAUUGUCUGUAUUUGCUUUAUUUGUUGAAUUUUAUUUCUGUGUGAAAAAUCAUAGUUGAAUUAGAGGGACAAGAAGACCCUAAUAAGUUUUAUUUUUUUACUUAAUGAUAGUAUAGGUGUAUAUUUAUUUGAUUAGAGGGGGGGGGUUUAGCUGGGGCAGCUAUAUAUUUGACAUAAGUAAUUUUUUAACUUUAUUUG
rnacentral:rRNA from 1 species